UACGUAGGUGGCAAGCGUUGUCCGGAUUUACUGGGCGUAAAGAGCGCGCAGGCGGUCGUUCAAGUCGCGUGUGAAAGCCCCCGGCUCAACUGGGGAGGGUCACGCGAUACUGAUCGACUCGAAGGCAGGAGAGGGAAGUGGAAUUCCCGGUGUAGUGGUGAAAUGCGUAGAUAUCGGGAGGAACACCAGUGGCGAAGGCGACUUCCUGGCCCGGUACUGGACGCUGAGGCGCGAAAGCGUGGGGAGCAAACAGG
rnacentral:rRNA from 1 species